UGGGGAAUAUUGGACAAUGGGCGAAAGCCUGAUCCAGCCAUGCCGCGUGAGUGACGAAGGUCUUCGGAUUGUAAAGCUCUUUUGGCGGGGACGAUAAUGACGGUACCCGCAGAAUAAGCCCCGGCUAACUUCGUGCCAGCAGCCGCGGUAAUACGAAGGGGGCUGGCGUUGUUCGGAAUUACUGGGCGUAAAGCGCACGUAGGCGGAUUGUUAAGUCAGGGGUGAAAUCCCGGGGCUCAACCUCGGAACUGCCUUUGAUACUGGCAAUCUUGAGUCCGGAAGAGGUGAGUGGAAUUCCUAGUGUAGAGGUGAAAUUCGUAGAUAUUAGGAAGAACACCAGUGGCGAAGGCGCCUUACUGGCUCGGUACUGACGCUGAGGUACGAAAGCGUGGGGAGCAAACA
rnacentral:rRNA from 1 species